UUGUUGCUGAUUCCCUUUUCUUAUUACCCAUCAUUUUGUGCUCAUUUUUGUACUAGCAAGGCGUGUAUGAUUUCUGUGCACGGAUCUGUUUGUAUUUUAGUUGUUCUUAGUUGAUUUGAGGCGAUUCUCGUCUGCGUGUCCUCUAGAUCCGUCUCUGAAUAGAUCGUUAGAGGAGGUAUGACAGUUUUGGUUGCUUCCUCCUAAUUUAGGACAACAACCACAGAAAUUUGGUGAUGUAUGUGGCCUCGUGUGUAUGUGUUAUGCUUGCAUUACCAAUACAAUGAAUCAACACUUUUUUUAGCAUGUCGACGUUACAUUUUAAAUUCUGUUGAUGCUUGUCUGCUGGAGCCUCCUUUUGUAGCUCUCCCACAGCAUAUUGGUUAACAUUAGCGUGUUACAAGCCUUUAAUCCUAAUCGUAUCAUUACACAGUCUGCAAGGCUUUAGUAAUGAACUUAAUUGAUUUUCUUAAUUCUUAGAUUGGCAUUUUUUCAGUGUGUUUAGUUUUUUUGCAAGGGUGUUAAUUCGACCCAUCUUUUUCAUUCCAUCACUGAAGUUUUUGAUCACCAUGAAACCCCCAGGAAUAGUGUUGAAAUCACACGCCUCUACGCAGGGUACUAAAACAAGUUGUUCAUUUUUAAGUGUGCUAGCUUUUAUGAGUGUGUUUUAGAGUUUCUUUUGUUUCACUAAAUAUAUGUGUAAUGUCAGGUGCAUGUUUCUACACAAAUUCAGGUCAUUUUUAAUUUUUGAUGUAGCAUGUUAUAUGUUAAUAUGGUCAUGUUGUAUCAGUUAAUAGAUCUUGAUCUUGAAGUUACUUAAUUACAUAGGUUAUUGUCAAUUCAAGGAGGAAGAGAAUUUUAGAUGAUGCAUUGUUUGAGUUUUUCAGCAAGGAGGUAUUUCCCUUCAUUUUCCAUGGUUUUAAAAUUCUAACAAUACCAAGAAGGAAGCCUGUGUAUGUGAAUCCUUCCUGCCAUAAAGAUUAUAUGAAUUAUGGAUUUUUCUUGUUGCAUACUUAUGUAUGAGAAUUUAAUUAUCACCUAUUGUUUUUGUAUGCAUACCUGAUUUAAUAAGUCAUCCUGGACAUCAAUUGUUUUAUGCAAUUCGUGAGAGUACAUCCCUGAAUCCUGCAGUAGAAAUGAGUUUUUUAAAAUCAGCAAUUACACAAGAAAUAUGCGAACCCAGAUAAAACAGGUGUUCAUUGAUCUUCAAUCAACUUUGUUUCUCUUUUCUCCUCAGUUUUCAUCAUUAUUUUUCUCUGUCUGUUAUUUUUCAGUGUCAGUCAUUCAUUAGAUAUCUUCUUUUUGUCAGUACUGGUUAGAUGACUAAGAUAUCUUAUAUUUUUCAGUCCCUCCCUUCCUCCGUCAGUGUUCAUUAUUUAGCUCACUCUCUCAUUAUUUUCUCAUUAUUUAGCUCACUCUCUCGAAGCUUGAUGGUGACCAGCUUUGCUCACUCACUCCUUCUCUCGGUCCUUAUCAAUAUUCAGUCUAUAUUUUCUCUCUCCUCCUUUCUCUGAUUUUCUUAUUAUGCUCAGUUUGUUAUCUCACUCUCUCAGUAUUUUCUCAUUCUUUAGCUCACUCUCUCGAAGCUUGAUGGCGACUCGCUUUGCUCAGUCACUCCUCUCAGUCCUUAUCAAUGUUCUGUCUAUAUUUUCUCUCUCAGUCUUAGUCUCAGUCUCAGUCUCACUCUCUUAUCAGUGUCAUUCUUCAGUUUUGUAUCAGUGGGAUUCUUUAGUUUCAAGAUUUUUCUUAGUCUUCUAAAUUCUUAGUUUAUCUCUUAUUUCUUCAGUUUGUUUUUUCAGUCUUAAUCUCUUAUCAGUGUCAUUCUUCAGUUUAGUAUCAGUGUCAUUCUUCAGUUUCAAGAUUUAUCUCUGUUUUCAUUUUUAUUUUCUCAGUCUCUCAGUUUAUAUGUGCUCAAUCUCAUUUCUUCGGUUUAGUUUCAUCAGUCUAUCAGUCUAAACUAUUUUUCUUAAUUAUGUUUAGGUCCUUCUCUUAGUUUCCUCGUUGUGCUUCUGUUCAUGUCAAUGCUUUGAGGCGUGAGAUCCUUCUGGAAUGUAGAUUAUGCUCCUUCUAUUUCUCCAUAUUUGGCAGUGUCUCUUUGGUCACUGGCCAGGUACUUCAGCUGGAUUAUCGUCGGUUGGCCUGGUCCUGGUCUCCGUCCUUUUUCUCAGAUGGUCUGUAUCAGGAGCGUCCUGUGAAAUUUUUGUGUGGAUGGGUGCCCAGCUUCGGUUGGUUGGUCCAUUUUGGAAGAUAAUAUUAGUGUUAAGUUUGCUGACAUCAGUCCCGCUAAUUAACCCACAAAAGAUCCUGCAUUCAAGGCGGGAUUAGUUUCGCUCAUUUCUUAGUCUCUUCAUUCUUUGUGGUACUAUGCUGUGAGAAGGCAAGCGGGGAAAUAUGUCAAGGAACUUGAGUUUCCUGGUUGUGCUUCUGUCCAUGUCGAUGGCUUUUUUAGAGCCGUGAGAUCCUUCUGGGAUCCACUCCAACCUACGGCCCUAGUCGCCCAUCUCCGUUGUUCGGCAUGAAUCAGGCGCAAACAACAUGCGCUGCACUCCUCAUCAAGAUAGAGUCACAGAAACCGAUCGGUGGCAGCAGCAUAGUAAGGCUGGUGACAUAAUAGCAUCCAGUAGGGAGGUUCAAGUAGAUCCAAGCCAAUUUUUGGGGUAGAUGUACACGAUUGAUCAAGAAAAGAAACAAAAAGAGGUUCUGGGAAGCACUUGGGCGAGUGGGAGAAGUGGUGACAUUCGUGUCCUGAGAGGUUAUGAGGUACAAAGCUGGACGCCAGGCUGCUUUUGCGUGGGGAGGAUGAAGAAGAGGGAGAUGGUGAUGUGGAGUCAGCUGGUAGACCAGGCCAACGGAAAUCGAAUUAGCGUUGUGAAAGCCUGAGCAAAGGCUCAUGUCCAAAUUAUGGGCUACUUUUUCGCCACUGCUUAUGUACCAAAGCCCAGUUCAAAAAGGCUGAUGUACAACCUUAGUGAGCAGGAGAAGAAGAAACAAGCACCGGCCAGGCUUGUGCCAACCAAUGGAGGAUGGAUCCCGCCACCGAGCGGCAUGGCGAAAAUCAACGUCGAUGCAGCGGUAGGGAAGAACUCCAUCAGGGGAGCGGCGGCCGCAGUAGCCAGGAAUGAUCUUGGAGAAUUUCUUGGAGCAUCGGCGACAAUAUUCAAAGGUCGUACUGAUGCGGAGACCCUCGAGGCCUUAGCUUGCCGGGAAGCUGUCGAACUGGCAAGAGAUUUGAACCUGCACAGGAUCAGGGUGGCGACAGAUUGCCAGAAUGUGGUGCGAAGCCUGGAGGAGCGAUCGCUGGGCAGGUAUGCACAUGUCAUCAAGGAGGUUUUGGCAGCUCGGUCUGAGUUCGACGAGCUUUCUUUUAGUUUUGAACGUAGAGUUUCAAAUAAAGAGGCGCACAAUCUUGCGCGUAGUGCAGUUUUUGAAGAGUUUGGUCGUAGAGUUUGGUUUGUAGAUCCGCCUGAGGGCCUUUGUAUUCCUGUUCGGGUUUAAUAAAGGCGGAGGUUUUUGCUCAA